UACGUAGGGUCCAAGCGUUGUCCGGAUUUAUUGGGCGUAAAGAGCUCGUAGGCGGUUCCGUAAGUCGGAUGUGAAAACUCGGGGCUCAACCCCGAGACGCCAUCCGAUACUGCGGUGACUUGAGUCUGGUAGGGGAACACGGAAUUCCUGGUGUAGCGGUGAAAUGCGCAGAUAUCAGGAGGAACACCGAUGGCGAAGGCAGGUCUCUGGGCCAUAACUGACGCUGAGAAGCGAAAGCAUGGGGAGCGAACAGG
rnacentral:rRNA from 1 species